GUUACCCUGUAGCGUAUUGGAUAGCGCGUUGGACAUCUAAUCCAAAGAUCGUGGGUUCGAAUCCCACUUGGAAUA
rnacentral:tRNA from 1 species